CUGACUAAGUGGCUGUGAUGUA
rnacentral:miRNA from 10 species